AGUGAACGCUGGCGGCAGGCUUAACACAUGCAAGUCGAGCGGGGGAGGUUGCUUCGGUAACUGACCUAGCGGCGGACGGGUGAGUAAUGCUUAGGAAUCUGCCUAUUAGUGGGGGACAACAUCUCGAAAGGGAUGCUAAUACCGCAUACGUCCUACGGGAGAAAGCAGGGGACCUUCGGGCCUUGCGCUAAUAGAUGAGCCUAAGUCGGAUUAGCUAGUUGGUGGGGUAAAGGCCUACCAAGGCGACGAUCUGUAGCGGGUCUGAGAGGAUGAUCCGCCACACUGGGACUGGGACACGGCCCCGACUCCUACGGGAGGCAGCAGUGGGGAAUAUUGGACAAUGGGGGGAACGCUGAUCCAGCCAUGCCGCGUGUGUGAAGAAGGCCUUUUGGUUGUAAAGCACUUUAAGCGAGGAGGAGGCUACUGGUAUUAAUACUACCGGAUAGUGGACGUUACUCGCAGAAUAAGCACCGGCUAACUCUGUGCCAGCCGCCGCGGUAAUAC
rnacentral:rRNA from 1 species